rnacentral:rRNA from 1 species
AUUGAACGCUGGCGGCAGGCUUAACACAUGCAAGUCGAGCGAGCGGCGGACGGGUGAGUAAUGUCUGGGAAACUGCCUGAUGGAGGGGGAUAACUACUGGAAACGGUAGCUAAUACAGCAUACCAUCAGAUGUGCCCAGAUGGGAUUUGCUAGUAGGUGGGGUAAUGGCUCACCUAGGCGACGAGCCCUAGCUGGUCUGAGGUGAUGAACAGCCACACGUGAACUGAGACACGGGCCAGACUCCUACGGGAGGCAGCAGUGGGGAAUAUUGCACAAUGGGCGCAAGCCUGAUGAAGCCAUGCCGCGUGUGUGAAGAAGGCCUUCGGGUUGUAAAGCACUUUCAGCGAGGAGGCGUUACUCGCAGAAGAAGCACCGGCUAACUCCGUGCCAGCAGCCGCGGUAAUUC